GAUGAAGACGCAGCGAAACGCGAUAAGUAAUGUGAAUUGCAGAAUCCAGUGAAUCAUCGAAUCUUUGAACGCACAUUGCGCCCGCCAGCAUUCUGGCGGGCAUGCCUGUUCGAGCGUCAUUUCAACCCUCGACCUCCCCUUGGGGAGGUCGGCGUUGGGGACCGGCAGCACACCGCCGGCCCUGAAAUGGAGUGGCGGCCCGUCCGCGGCGACCUCUGCGCAGUAAUACAGCUCGCACCGGGACCCCGACGCGGCCACGCCGUAAAACACCCAACUUCUGAACGUUGACCUCGAAUCAGGUAGGACUACCCGCUGAACUUAAGCAUAUCAAUAAGCGGAGGA
rnacentral:misc_RNA from 1 species